rnacentral:tRNA from 1 species
GGGGAUUUAGCUCAGAGGUAGAGCGCUUGCCUAGGAAGCGCAAGGCCCUGGGUUCGGUUCCCAGCUCCG